UAACGCAGUGCCAGCAGCCGCGGUAAUACGGAGGGGGCAAGCGUUGUUCGGAAUUACUGGGCGUAAAGAGCGAGCAGGUGGUUCAUUAAGUCAAUUGUGAAAGCUCAAGGCUUAACCUUGAAAUUGCUUUUGAUACUGAUGAACUAGAGUUUGGGAGAGGAUAGUGGAAUUCUAAGUGUAGAAGUGAAAUUCGUAGAUAUUUAGAGGAACACCGAUAGCGAAGGCAACUAUCUGGCCCUUUACUGACACUCAGAAGCGAAAGCUUGGGUAGCAAACAGGAUUAGAUACCCUGGUAGUCCACGCAGUAAACGAUGAGUGCUAGAUGUUAGAAGUUUACUUCUAGUAUCGAAGCUAACGCGUUAAGCACUCCGCCUGGGGAGUACGGCCGCAAGGCUAAAACUCAAAUGAAUUGACGGGGACCCGCACAAGCAGUGGAGCAUGUGGUUUAAUUCGACGCUACGCGAAAAACCUUACCAGCUCUUGACAUGCUAAGUUUUAAAUUUAAGAGAUUAAAUUUUUCAGUUCGGCUGGGCUUAGUACAGGUGCUGCAUGGCUGUCGUCAGCUCGUGUCGUGAGAUGUUCGGUUAAGUCCGGCAACGAGCGCAACCCUCAUCUUCAGUUACUAACAGGUUAUGCUGAGGACUCUGGAGAAACUGCCGUUGGAAAAGCGGAGGAAGGCGAGGAUGACGUCAAGUCCUCAUGGCCCUUAUGGGCUGGGCUACACACGUGCUACAAUGGUAAUUACAAUAGGUCGCAAAAUGGCAACAUUAAGCUAAUCCUUAAAAAUUAUCUUAGUUCAGAUUGUUCUCUGCAACUCGAGAGCAUGAAGUUGGAAUUGCUAGUAAUCGUGGAUCAGCAUGCCACGGUGAAUACGUUCCCGGGUCUUGUACACACCGCCCGUCACACCAUGGGAGUUGGUUUUACCUGAAGCCGAUUUUUAAUUGUCCACGGUAAGGUCAGCGACUGGGGUGAAGUCGUAACAAGGUAGCCGUAGGGGAACCUGCGGCUG
rnacentral:rRNA from 1 species